GGCGGGAGCCAUGUGCUGGCCCAACCGGCCGCAGCCAUCCGCUGGCCGCACGGCCGUGCGCAGGCACAUGGUGCCCCGCCACUGCCGCCGCGGCCCUCCGCCUGCGUCCACGCACCGCCGGCCACGCGCCCUGCAGCAUGCGCUCCUUCGGGACUCCCGCAGUUGUGUACACGAUGUGGACAGGCUCAACAAUUAAGUACUUCGUCGUCCGGGACUCCCACAGCUGUGUCUUCAUCUUCUGGGCCGUAGGUGACAUGCUGCUCAAGCUGGGAAGCCGGUGCCUCCGGUUAGUCACAGGACGCAGCAAUUAAAACAAAAGAUUGGAGUAAUAUUGCCCAGAAUGGCAGGAGCUAUGCCAUUGUUUAGUUGUUUUCACUCGAUCAGCUUUUGUGCCAAGAUAUGUGGAUGCUUAUGCGGUGAAGUGAUGGCCUUUGUAUUGUCUUUGUGCCAGGAGCACACGAGCCAUUAGCAUCACUCAUGGCACCUCUCAUGCACAGAUGCUCUUGAUGCUUCUCUCUGGUGAGUAUUUGCUAAUCAUUGAUGAGAACAAAAAUGAAUUAACCAGGAUCUUGACUUGCAUAUGCAUACAUAUACUUAUAUGCCUCUUGUCUGAUGCUGAUUGCUGUGAGAUUCAGCUAUAAGGCUACAAAACCAGUUUUACUCUCUUAAGAGAUGUGGCUGAAUGGCAGAGUGAGGAAGAAAAUUACUCUGUCUUGGACAUUAAGUUAAGUAAUAAUAUCUGUCUCACUUUGCUUUACCAAAUUCAUUGACCUAUUUAUUUUGUAAGUCAUAUUUGAAAACAACAGAUAUUAUAAAUGGUAGCUCUUGUUUUAUCUAUGUAAAAGUUGCAUUUGUGAAUUUUGCAGGUUGCUGAGUGAUCAUUGGGUUUCAUUCAUUAGUUUCUGAAAGCAUCAAGAAAACUCUGCUCAAGGAAUCUCAUUGGCAAAGUUUAUUGUUUGAUUAGUAAUAGUCAUUAUGUUGAUUUUGGUA